rnacentral:snRNA from 1 species
AUGCUCAUUUUUAGUAUAUGUGCUGUGAUACUGGAAUGAUGCAGAGAAAAUUAGCAUGGCCCCUGUGCAAGGAUGACAUGCAAAUUUGUGAAGCAUUCCAUAUAUAC